AUAUCUAAUUUUUAAUUAGUUAUUAAUUUUUAAUAAUUUUAGUUUAUUAAUUAAUUUAUAUAUAUAUUUGUUAAAAUAAUUAAUUAAUUUAGUUAAAUUAUUUAUUUGUACCUUUUGUAUUAGGGUUAAUUAAUUGAUUUAAUUAUUUUAUUUUCCCGAAUUUGAAAUAAUUAGUUAAAUAUAAUUUUAUUUGUGUCAUAAAAUUUAUUAAUAUUUAAUUUGUAAUUAAAAGUUAAUCGUUUUCAAUUUAUAUCUGGUUAUUUUAGAUUAAAUUAAAUUUAAAAUUAUUUGUUAUGUUUAUUAAUAAUUUUUAGUUUUAUUUUAUAAGGGAUAAUCUUUAUAUUUUUAUAUAAUUUAUUUUUAUUUAUUUUUAUUUUCUUUUAAAUUUUGUAUUAAGUUUUUAAUAAAUUUAUUUGUUUUAAUUUGAUUUUAUUUAAUUUGUUUUUUUAUAAAAUAUAUUUAAUUAUUAAUUUUUUAAUUUUUAAAAUGAUUAAAUUAGUAGAAUUUUUAAAUUAAUUAAAUUGAAUUCGACAAUUAUUUUUUUCAAAUGUUUAUCAAAAACAUUUCUUUUAGUUUAUAUUAAAAGUAAAUUCUGCUCUAUGAAUAUUUUUAAAUGGCUGCAGUAUUUUAACUGUACAAAGGUAGCAUAAUAAUUAGUCUUUUAAUUGAGGGCUUGCAUGAAUGAAUAAAUGAGAAAUUUAUUAUAAUGAAUUUUAUAAUUUAAAUUUAAUUUUUUGGUAAAAAAGCUGAAUUAAAUAUUUGGGACGAAAAGACCCUAAAGAACUAUUCUUAUAUAUUUAUUUUAAAUUUAAUUAAAAUUUAAUUGAAUUUUUAAGUUUUAUUGGGGUGAUAAUUAAACUUAAUCUUUAUUAUUUAAAUUCUUUUUUAAGAGAAUAUAUUGAUUCAUUAUGAUUGUUUAUUAGAUAAAGUUACCUUAGGGAUAACAGCGUAAUUUAAAUGGGGAGUUCAUAUCUAUAUUUAAGUUUGCGACCUCGAUGUUGAAUUAAGAUAAAUUUUAGGGGCAGUAUCUUAAUAAUUUAAGUCUGUUCGACUUUUAAAUUCUUACAUGAUUUGAGUUCAAACCGGUGUGAGCCAGGUUGGUUUCUAUCUUAAUAGAUUAAAAUUAUUUUAGUACGAAAGGACCAAGUAAUUCAUUAUUAUUUAAUGUUAUUUAUUUAUUAUACUAA
rnacentral:rRNA from 1 species